UACAAGGAGAGAAGCAAGAGGUGGAUACUAUAUGGAACAUAAGUAGGAGGAGAAGUAAAGACAGGAACUGAAUUUCGAGGAGGCUGAGCAGCAUAUUUUCCUCUUCAAUCUAACAAUUACAAAUAAAAGCGCACCAAUUGUGUGCUUAACAACACAGUUGCUAUCCAGACGGACAAUUGUAGGCUGAGGAACUGUGGCCAAGGCGAAGCAGCGGCAUUGCAGAGAUCCCCUUGGCAGAAGCACAUGAAGACUUUCUUGUGGUUGUAGAUGGUGUCGGCGCAGCGAUCCAUGUUAUCAUCAGGGCCACGUUGCACGCACAUGCGUUGAAUGGCCAGAUCGUAAUCUGCAAAGAUUUAUAGAAUAUUACAAAAAUGUAUGCGAGCAAUACGGCUGUCGAGGAUUACUUACCAUCGAGGGCGUAGGUACCGCCACCUUCUAUCACCUUGCCACACCAGCCACUGGCGCAGGGAAUGGCUGAGAGGCCGGGUUCGCGCUCCACGUCGGUGGCAUUGAAGCUAAACGGAUCCUUGCAGCUGCCCAGCUCGCCACGCGACCUGCAUUGGUAGCAACGUCGCAGUGCCGCUGGAAUAAAGUCGGGAUUGUAAUUACUAAUGUGUGUGGAGCGUGGCCGAGUUGUAAAUCAAAGUUCAGAAGCAUUAGCUCUGAAAUUUGUAGAGCUUGAGCAUUUGGAAAAACUGGACAUACAAAAUUCGAGGUAUUUUUUGUAUUUUGUAUUUGCUGCUUUGCUAUUGUACUCUAAGCGAUCAUAGAUUGCCAUUAACUUUUAUACCCUGUUUCACCUUGUGAUGACGGGUAUCAAAAGUGAAAAUUGUAGUUCAC